rnacentral:rRNA from 1 species
CCUACGGGGAGCAGCAGUGAGGAAUAUUGGUCAAUGGGCGCGAGCCUGAACCAGCCAAGUAGCGUGAAGGAUGACUGCCCUACGGGUUGUAAACUUCUUUUAUAAAGGAAUAAAGUGAGGCACGUGUGCCUUUUUGUAUGUACUUUAUGAAUAAGGAUCGGCUAACUCCGUGCCAGCAGCCGCGGUAAUACGGAGGAUCCGAGCGUUAUCCGGAUUUAUUGGGUUUAAAGGGAGCGUAGAUGGGUUGUUAAGUCAGCGGUAAAAGCCCGGGGCUCAACCCCGGCGAGCCUGUGAAACUGGCUGUCGUGAGAUGUCGAGAGGUAUGCGGAAUGCGCAGUGUAGCGGUGAAAUGCUUAGAUAUUGCGCAGAACUCCGAGUACGAAGGCAGCAUACCGGCGGCGAUCUGACGCUGAGGCACGAAAGCGUGGGUAUCGAACAGGAUUAGAUACCCUUGUAGUC